ACCUACAAACAUCAUCCUGCAAAAGGAAAAUCAAGUCAAGCAACCUGCAAAACAUUGGCAGUGACGGUUCAACAAUAAUUUUUGCAGUGCACAAACUCGAGCAAGCAAGCACCAUGAUGCAACCCAUGUUAUUUUGGCUCACCAUUCUCCGGCCAUGUGCACACCCUGCAAAACCAGAGCAAGAAUUGUGAGUAUACCUGCAAUACCAUCAUGAUACUACAAACAACAAUGCUACACUACAUGCUAUAUUGCACACAAAU
rnacentral:lncRNA from 1 species